CGGGUGAGUAAUGCUUAGGAAUCUGCCCAGUAGUGGGGGACAACCGGAGGAAACUCCGGCUAAUACCGCAUAAGUCCUACGGGAGAAAGCGGGGGACCGAAAGGCCUCGCGCUAUUGGAUGAGCCUAAGCCCGAUUAGCUAGUUGGCGGGGUAAUAGCCCACCAAGGCGAUGAUCGGUAGCUGGUCUGAGAGGAUGAUCAGCCACACUGGGACUGAGACACGGCCCAGACUCC
rnacentral:rRNA from 1 species